rnacentral:lncRNA from 1 species
CUGUCCUUCCUCAAAACACUUUAAGUAGUUGUCUGCCUUGAGCCUGCCACCAUCUUCAUCUGGUAACACAAGAGGUAAGAGUAAUUUAUUAUUACACUCUCAAGAACAGGGAGAUUUCUAUACUGCUAAGUCUUAAAGAACUCCCGUCUCAUCUUCUAGUUUAGCACUGGGAAUACGAUACCAAAAGGAGUUCUCCUAUAAAAAUGGCAUCUCAUACAAUUUUGACUUUUCAGACCUCUUAACCACACAAAAUCUAGUGACUCUUCUCUUUCACAUGUUGUGAGAACUUCAGAAAGACUGCAAGGAUCACAGGUAAUAUUUAAUAAGAACUAUUACUGCAACUUAACCAAUGUGGAUAUAUCAGAGAGACCGAGUGAUAAAAUCAACACUGUUGAUCUGAAAGUCAAAAUCUCCAGGUGUCAACCCAGGCUUUUCACCGACUGUGGUUGCCUGGGUCCAGCCAGUUGGCUUUUAUGUAUCUUGAAGUACAGUGUGUUGCAGUGGAAUAGCACUGUACCUAGAGUGAGGAGAACAGGGCUCAUGUCACAGCACUACCACUUCCACCUCUGCAACACUCAAUGACCCUUCUGGGCCUUAGUUUCCUCAUCAGUCAAGUGAGGAGGCUGAAUUCUAUUUGACUACUAAGCUUCCUCCAGCUCUUAUAAUCUAGGAUCUAAGUCAGUGGUGUUCAAGGGCUCUUCCAUGGGAUCAAAAUAUUUAAAAGACUUCACCCAACUCCACAUGUUGGGACCUGUACUUUUACCGUUAUGUCAGGAAUAUACAUGAUGAUGAAAGCCUUCUAUACAUUUAAUAGUUAUUUUGGGAGUUCCCACUGUGCUGCAGUGGGUUAAUAAUUUGACUGCAGCAGCUCAGGUAUCUGUGGAGGCACGUGUCUGAUCCCCCACCCAGUGCAAUGGCUUAAAGGAUCUGGCUUUCCUGCAGCAUAGAUCACAGCUGCAACUUGGAUUCAGUACCUGGCCUGGGAACUUCCAUAUACUAUGGGUGCAGCCAUAAAAAUAAAUAAAUAAAUAAAUAAAUAAAUAAAUAAAUAAAUAAAUAAUAACAAUUAUUUUGAACACAUUUAUACUUAAUACAGUAGCUAUAUUCAUCACAAGAAGAGAAAGCAUGGUUUGGGAAUGUUGUUUGAACUCAAAGCUAUUAUCACUGUCCAAAUGGACUCAAUGACGCUGAGGAACCUUGGGGGUUUGUGACCCACAAGUUAGGAGAUGACUGAUCUCAGACAUGAGAUGGGAAGAGCAGUGUCUUUUCUGUGCUUUGUGGAUACAUUGUACCGUAGUAAUCGCUACAAGGUAGUAUGCUCUUAAUUCAAAAUUGUCAGGUAUAAAAACAAACACAGAAACAAAAAAAUAGCAUUUCUCCUUCCAAGAAAAACCUUAGCAUUAAACGUUCCAAUAUUUGAAAAUAUGUCUAAAUUUCGGGAUUAUUAAGAGAUUGUAAUAGAUACAAACUAGGUUAAUUACAGAGAUACAGUAUGUGGCAAACUCCCUAUUAUUCUAAAUUGAGAGGAAGUUUAAUCCUGAUGACUCAAGACCAAAACUUCUUCUGAAAGCCUACAAAAGGUUGAGGCUGUUGUUGUCGCCGCUGUUGGCAACCAACACAUGGCUUUCCACCUUCUUUUAACUCUGGUCACUCAUCCAGGCAAGAUAACUUAUUCUCUCUCUCUCUCUUUUGUUUUGUUUUGUUUUUGGGGGGAUUUGGGGGGUUUUUUGUUUGUUUUUUGGGUUUUUUUGUCUUUUUAGGGCCACAUCCAUGGCAUCUGGAAGUUCCCAGGAUAGGGGUCAAAUCAAAGCUGUAGCCACUGACCUAUGCCACAGUCACAGCAAUACCAGAUCUGAGCAGUGUCUGUGACCCAUACCACAGUUCAUGGCAAUGCCAGAUCCUUAACCCACUGAGUGAGGCCAGGGAUCAAACCUGAGUCCUCGUGGAUUCUAGUCAGGUUUGUUACCAUUAAGUGAUAACAAGAACUCCAAGAGGACUUAUUUUCUCAUAAUUAAUUUGUCAGUGGGGAAAUUUUUUAAAGUUAAUUUUGGCUUGAAACUUUAUAUUGGCUAUCCAUUGCAGAAGAAAUAUUUAGAGGACUGGUAUUUAAAAAAAAAAAAA